CAUUAGUAGUAACCAUGGAAACAAAGCCCCGCCAUAACAUCUACGGAAAAAACUGGUUAGCAUUUCGUCUUCUGUACGUUUUUAAUGCCGCUACGGUGUAAGGGGAGACGCUGUUUAUGACAGUGACAUAAAUCACGUGGUGGCAAGUCGGUAAAUUGAUCAACACAUCAUGAGGACCGCAGGAAGUACAGGCUGCUGAACAUUUCUCACCUGGCUAUGGAGAACUAUUUGAUCUGACAUGGGGGAAAAUCUGAGUGGAAUACACAAAGGAAACUACUGUUAUUGCCAGCCAGUCCCUGAAAGCCUCCUGUGGGCAUCAGCUCCAGCAGCAUGGAAGACAACUUCUGAUCCAACUUUUCCACAGAGCAAGCCUGAAGAGCCUGCAAUGUAAACAAAGUUUAAAAUGUUGUGUUGAGUUGUGACUCAAAAAGCAACUCUUCUAUUAAGGGCAGAUGUGACUCCCAGAAUGAAUCUUGGAUUGGAUGCACCAACUCAUAAAACAGUGGUAGUGGUAUUGGAAAUCCAUUUAGAGAGCAAAUAAAAAUGCCAACUUUAAUUUGACCAGGCCAGCAUCAAAGUCCUGCCUCACCUUUAGUUUGUAAAUGCUUCCUCUUUCAUUGCUUAAGUUUGCUGCUUCAGCAAAACUGACAUAAUCAAAUUAAGUGUUCAACACUGAAAGACAGAUGUAACCCGUUCUCCCCUCAAUCCAGGAGAAAACAGCACUUUGUCUAAAUUCUGUUUUCUUCUUUUACUUUUAUUUAUUUUUUUGUUAUUUGCAUAUUUCCACCGACUGUAAAUCAGCUGUAAGGGAGUUGUGAAAUAGCUUCAUGAGGAUUAUAUUUAAAUGUGUGUGUGUCCUACAAAAGUUGUUUAAGAUAUGAAAGUUGCACUGAAGCAACCUCCUGCAUGACCAAGCUAAUAAUUUACUUUGGAUAUUUUGGAUACAAUAUUUUUAUAUGACUUGUGUGUUUGUUUGUGAUAAGUUUCAAAUUGAAAAAAAUCUAACAAAAACUUUACUAUUGGUCUGAUGGUACAAGUGUGCAUGUUUCACUUCCAGCUCUUAGUUUUUAGCAUGCAGUAUUAGAUCAAACUGUACUGGUCAGAAAUGUAUUAAUAAUGGGAAACAACAAUACUAAAGUUUUAAUUCAGGAAGAGUUCAGAAAUCAAUAUUUGGUGGAAUAACCAGGAGGUUCAGUUCAGUGGGCUCUUCAUUUUCUCCAGAGCUGUAUAAGGACUUGAUUACCCAAAAUCCACGCAAGAAGCCUGUUGCAGAUUUUAGUAAGUAAGUAAACUUUAUUUAUGUAGCAUUUCUUACAGGUCAGAAAGUGCUUUUGCAAAUAUAAGACGUAAAUAAAGAUCUGCUCUCAGUAUUUCCACAGCCAGCCUGGACAAAAGCCUCACUAUUUCCCCUCAAUCCAAGCAUUGAUAAUUGGUCAGACUCAACUAUAUAUCGUCUAUCAAAAAUCGAUAUAUGGCACAGACGGCAUUAUUAUAAUUAAAAUAAUGCGUUUAAAUGAAAAUUAUGCUUCCAGAAUUCUCAUACUGGCCCACAGCUAGUCUAAAAUAUGUUCUUCUUUAAAUAAAAGGCAG